rnacentral:rRNA from 1 species
UACGAAGGGGACUAGCGUUGUUCGGAAUUACUGGGCGUAAAGCGCACGUAGGCGGAUUCGUAAGUCAGGGGUGAAAUCCCGGGGCUCAACCUCGGAACUGCCUUUGAUACUGCGGAUCUCGAGUCCGAUAGAGGUGGGUGGAAUUCCUAGUGUAGAGGUGAAAUGCGUAGAUAUUGGGAGGAACACCAGUGGCGAAGGCGGCUCACUGGACCGGAACUGACGCUGAGGCGCGAAAGCGUGGGGAGCAAACAGG